ACAGAGGGUGCGAGCGUUGUCCGGAAUCACUGGGCGUAAAGGGCGCGUAGGCGGCUUCUCACGCGUGCGGUGAAAGCUCGGGGCUUAACUCCGAGUCUGCCGUGCGAACGGGGAGGCUUGAGUCUGGUAGAGGUCGAUGGAAUUCCGGGUGUAGCGGUGGAAUGCGUUGAUAUCGGAAGGAAUGCCGAAAGCGAAAGCAGCUAACUAUGAAUUACCUGACGGUGAGAGACGAAAGCUUGGGUAGCAAACGGGA
rnacentral:rRNA from 1 species